UCCCACAUGCAGGGUUUGCA
rnacentral:miRNA from 1 species